rnacentral:misc_RNA from 1 species
UUUUUUUUUUUUUUUUUUUAAUUUCUUUUUUUUUUUUUUUGGCAAUUCUACUAAAUUCCAAUGAUUCUCCGCUUGAUUUACAUUUCCUACAUGUUAAUGCAAUCUUCACCCUUUUAUUUAAGAAACUAUCAUUUACUUUUGUGUCAGCCUCCUAUCAGAAACCAGAAAACACUGCCAGAUAAUUUUAGAAAGAAUGGAAGAAACUUGAGGUAAGCAAGGAACCAAACAGCUAUCAGCAACAUAAGUAUGAAAAAAUAUGCUUACCAACAAGUGUUAUAUGUAACAAAGGUCAAUUGUAUUUAUUGAAUAACAGGAGUCAAUCAUACCCCUCUCCUUUAGAGGGAUGAUCUUUUUCAUGUGAUAGUGAGAAUGAGAACUGCCUCAAAUUACAAUCGGUGGCUAAACCUAAAGAGCAGGAUGCAUAUAUAGUUUACAAGGACAUGAAGCUAUACAACAAAAUGCCCAAAUGGCAUCAGCAUAUAGAAUGGACACUAGGCUUGGGCCAGCUUAAAUAGUCCUUUUCUUUCUUUCUUCAUAUUUUAGUAAUGAUGAUGGUUUUGUUGUCAUGUUGACCCUAAAAUUAGACCGAUAUGCCCAAGUAAAAAUACAACCAAUGUAAUUGAAUGCUGGAUCUACUCAAGAGCUCGGAGAAACUCCAUGUUAAUGACACAAAGCAAAAGCAUAUUAACCAUCAAGAACCUAGAUAAAGAAAACCAAUUGUGCAUUUGAAACUUAUGUAUUAUUGAGGUCCAAUUUUAAGUUUAAAAUUUUGAUACAUCUUAACACUGAAAAACAAUCCAAACAAACAGCACUGAUAUGAAACAUCCACAACACAAGCAAGUCCAGGAAUAACAUUCACCAGCGAAGUGGGCAUCAUGUGAGUAGGACUUGGUGAUACUAAAAAAAUACCACCCAAAAUAAGAGCCAAUAGUUGACUAUGAACUGGUUUCCACAUCAACUGAAAUACAAUAUGCUAAAAAGUGUUACCGAACAUAAAGGGGCAAAGCAAGAACAGUGGGAGACCAAAAACUAAAAUGUACAAUUUUCUUGUGAGUAAGCCUUUUCCAAUCAAGUGACAGGAGACCAAAAACUGCCUCAAAUUACAAAAUGGGGAACAGGAAAACAUAGUUAACAAGGACAGGAAGCUAACUAGACAGCAAAAUUCCCCAAUGGCAUCAGUAUAAGUUGUAUGGAAGUUAGGCCUGUCUCAGUGUUUUUUUAUAAAUAUAUAUAUUUUUUUCAUUCUUUUUUGUUCUUCAUUUAUUAUUUGCAAAAGAGGAUGAUAUUCAUGUUAUAUUGAACCCUACAAUUUGGAUUGAUAAGCUCAGAUACAAAUAGUCAUACGUAAAUGAACACUGACUCCACUCAAGAGCUCAGAAGACCGUGAUGUUAUCAAGAAUCCAGAUAAAGAAAAAGAAAACCAAAUGUGCAUUAAAACUACUGUUUAUUUGGAUCCAUUUUUUUUAUAUUUAAAUAACUGGAAAAGAUUGAAAUUGUGAAGAGAAGUCAAAAAAGAAACAAAAUGGAUAUUAAACAUCCACAGCUUGCAAAAAAUAUCAAGAACAACUUUCACCUAAUAGGGCAACAUUUGGGUAAGAUGCUGUAAACCUAUACAUCUCAGCUAAAAUACUAAAUUGCAGAACACGAACCAAUAGUUUACAAUAAUUGAAAUACACCAUGAUAAAAAGGGUAUUGACCAUUGUCAGCAAAGCCACAACAAACUAAAGGGAUAAUCUCAAAAGAAAGGAAGUUAAUGCUUUAUCAUCUCUAGUAAGAAGAUCUGUUUAAUAUCUCUAGACAUAGAUGAUCAAACAUGCUAAAAAAGGGUAUUGAACAUAUAAAGGCUAAGCAGCAACAAACUACGGGGACAAUCUCAAAAGG